rnacentral:lncRNA from 1 species
UUUCACUUUAUUGUGAUGUGUGAAAGAAAGAGAAUGCUCAUAGGGAACAGAAUGAGGCUCUCUUACAUUUUUCUGUGUUUAAAAAAAAAAUGUUCGCAGGAAAAUAUAUAGAACGGUAUGCUUUUUAACAAAGAAUUUGCUGACAUUUUUGUUCCACCUAGUUGUUUUAAGCUUGCUGUGGCUGCUUAAAGACGCCUCCAGAUGGCGCCAUAGUGCUCGUUCUCUCCGCCCAGUGGCCGACCGAAUACCACCAGCUGCAGGAGAGAACGAGCUUGGAGCUAGCGGCUGGGCUUAACCCGGCGAAGCUCUGAGGUGGGUUGCUGAAGGAUUCCGGGAAGCAGCUGCAACAGGGCAUCUCUCACUAUCCAAGCAUAUCUGUUUCUGAGUGCAAAAGGAAGAACUUGAGCGGGCGACAAUUGGAGUGAAAAUUGCUUUGUAGUAUCUAAAAGCAGCAUGGAUCGUGGGCAGCUGAGCUGGGCUACCCUCAAAGGACGGUUACAUUUUUAACCUUCCCUGAAGAAAUUUUAGCACUUCAUAAAAAGAAAAUGUACCAUACAUAGUAAUCCUCUCAGUCUUCCAGUGGGAGAAGAUAUGUGCUGGCAUUAUGGAUCCCUGAUCUUUGGAACAACAAAUCAACAGAAAUUCAUGUGAAAAUCAUUGACCACCAUAUGCUGCUCAAGCUUCCUUCAGCUCCUAAUUCUAGGAGCUUGAGAACUAAAGCAAACCACAGACAGCCACAGGCACUCACUACCAGCCCUGACAAAGCAAAUCGCAAAACUCACCUCACAAGUUUCAGAUAAUGGUGAUGAUGAUGAUGAUGAUGAUGAUUUUGGUCCUGGCUCCAUUAGAGGUGGCAGCCAGCAACUCCUGUGGAAGGUCCAGCAGACCAGGAUACCCACAACAGCUGUGGUCCCUCAACUCCCUCCCACCAGCCCAGACUUGAAGCUGCUGAAGGAGCAAAGAGUACCUCUGACACCAUACUUGCAGGUGAUUUUAAACUAGGUAGUUAAAAACUGACUUGUUUAAUUCUGACCUGUAUAUAAUUUUUGUGUAAGCUAGCUAAUACUGAGAGGCUAAAAAUUAAGGAUCAUAUAAAACCUGUACAUAAUUCUAUUACUUCCAUCUGACAAAAUUCAGAUUUUAAUGUGCAUCUUUAUUUAUGUUACUUCACUUUUUAAUUUUUUUAUUUAGAAAAUACCUUCAGCAAAAAAACCAUUAAAGUGAUUUUCAGUCAAAAAAUAUGUGUCGAUUAAACUUUAAGCAAAAUCUCAC